rnacentral:rRNA from 1 species
CCGCGGGAUAGAGUUUGAUCCUGGCUCGAAUCAACGCUGGCGGCGCGCUUAACACAUGCAAGUCGAGCGAGAAAGGGGAGCAAUCCCUGACUAAAGCGGCGUACGGGUGAGUAACACGUGGGUAAUCUACCUUUUAGUGUGGAAUAACCCUGGGAAACCGGGGCUAAUACCGCAUAAGCCUGAUAAGGGAAAGCAGCAAUGCGCUGAGAGAGGAGCCCGCGGCCAAUUAUCUAGUUGGUGGGGUAACGGCCCACCAAGGCGAUGAUCGGUAGCCGGCCUGAGAGGGCACACGGCCACACUGGCACUGAAACACGGGCCAUACUCCUACGGGAGGCAGUAGUGGGGAAUCUUGCACAAUGGAUGCAACUCUGAUGCAGCGACUCCGCGUGAGCGAUGAAGCCCCUCGGGGUGUAAAGCUCUUUCGGCAGGGACGAUAAUGACGGUACCUGAAGAAGAAGCUGCGGCUAACUACGUGCCAGCAACCGCGGUAAUACGUACGCAGCGAGCGUUGUUCGGAAUUACUGGGCGUAAAGAGUGUGUAGGCGGUGCUCUAAGUUCGGUGUGAAAUCUCCCGGCUUAACUGGGAGGGUGCGCCGGAAACUGGAGUGCUCAAGCGUGGGAGAGGAAAGCGGAAUUCCUGGUGUAGCGGUGAAAUGCGUAGAUAUCAUGAGGAACACCUGCGGUGUAGACGGCUUUCUGGACCAUUGCUGACGCUGAGACACGAAAGCGUGGGUAGCAAACAAGAUUAGAUACCCUGGUAGUCCACGCCCUAUACGAUGCAUACUUGGUGUCGGCCAUUCGGUUG